GCCAGUGUGGUGCAGUGGUUUGAGUGCUAGACUACAACUCUGAAGACCAAGGUUCAAAUUCCACUUUGGCC